CUCCUGUAGCUCUCUCUGCUUGUAACUCACUGCCCCGCCCUCCUGUAGCUUUCCACCACUUGUAGAUUGGUCGUGAUGUUAUGGCGUAAUGGAUAAUUAGCAUAUUCCUCCUAUUAUAUAGGAUUAUGGCUAUGGCUUGUUUGUAUUAAAAUAAUAACCCUAUUCCAUAACUUUUAGAGACACACUGAAAUAUUGAUGAAUGAAAUAUGAUGUUUGGAAUUUGCUGCUGUGAGCUCAAGGGUGGAAAUUAUAGCUCAUGAAUCAACAAAUUCUCUACACUAGACGGGACCUGCAGUAAAUGUUUGCUGAAUGACUGAAUGAAGGAUGAGGCCAUGUUCAUCUGCACAAGAAACCUUUGACCUGCUCUAGAGCCUUCCCACGCUGACUGAUCCUGCUGGGACGCAGGCCAGCGGCCCUCCAUCCGGAAGCUCGGAACUCGCUUACCUGCUCACGCUGGAAUGGUAUUGUAUUAAGGCACCUGGAACUAUAGCAGGUAUUUAUUAACCCCACCACAUGGAGGGGACUCCAAGAGUCUGUCCUGAAGACACUUUCCCCUGGUCCAUGGUGUUUAGCUUUUCUAGUCUCCUCGCAGCCAGGAGUGGCCCUGUGACCCUGUGACCCUGUGCUGGCCCCUGAGACAAAGUGGAAUUCCUUUGGGCAGCUGCAGCUGGGGCCUUGCCGGUGCUUCCUGUUCCGGGAGGCAAGCACCAGGAUGAAACCAUGUGCUAAAGGUGGGAGGGGGUGGAGGACGGGGGAAACAUAGACAGAACCAUCAUGAACACACUCGUUCUAGAAUCUAGAUGGACCCAGACAUUUUCACUCAAGGAAAUCCAGCAGGUCCCUUCAGUUCUAUGGGGAAGCAAUGAGGUAGCAAAGUUAGGGUGUGGGAUCUGGCCACAGACACAUCCCAGUUCAAGUCCUCACCAGGGGUGGCCGGGAGUCAGUCCUCUGGGCCUCACUUCCUCCCCUGCGGAAUGGGACUAAGGCACUCACUCACCUUGCAGGGCUGUGUGAGCGCGAAUGAGAGAAUGCACUUUAAAUGCCUGGUCUCCUAUCUAGCACACAGCAAGCACUAAAACAAACAUUUCCGACUACAAAUGCAGACUACCCACCCCCCCCACGCCCCUCCCCAGCAAAACUGUCUUGAAGCCAACUUUUCAAAUGAACAGCCCUUUCCAGA